UGCGUAGGUGGUUAGUUAAGUCUUUGGUAUAAGUGCAGCGCUUAACGCUGUGACGCUAAAGAAACUGGCUGACUUGAGUGUGGUAGAGGCAAGUGGAAUUCCAUGUGUAGCGGUAAAAUGCGUAAAUAUAUGGAGGAACACCAGUGGCGAAGGCGGCUUGCUGGGCCAUAACUGACACUGAGGCACGAAAGCGUGGGGAGCAAACAGGAUUAGAUACCCUGGUAGUCC
rnacentral:rRNA from 1 species